rnacentral:rRNA from 1 species
GAGUUUGAUCGUGGCUCAGAUUGAACGCUGGCGGCAUGCCUUACACAUGCAAGUCGAACGGUAACAGGUCUUCGGAUGCUGACAAGUGGCGAACGGGUGAGUAAUACAUCGGAACGUGCCCGAUCGUGGGGGAUAACGGAGCGAAAGCUUUGCUAAUACCGCAUACGAUCUACGGAUGAAAGCAGGGGACCGCAAGGCCUUGCGCGGACGGAGCGGCCGAUGGCAGAUUAGGUAGUUGGUGGGAUAAAAGCUUACCAAGCCGACGAUCUGUAGCUGGUCUGAGAGGACGACCAGCCACACUGGGACUGAGACACGGCCCAGACUCCUACGGGAGGCAGCAGUGGGGAAUUUUGGACAAUGGGCGAAAGCCUGAUCCAGCCAUGCCGCGUGCAGGAUGAAGGCCUUCGGUU